AACCAAGAUGGCCUGGAUUUGCG
rnacentral:miRNA from 1 species